rnacentral:misc_RNA from 1 species
AUUGACAACCCUCAGGCCCUGGUGCCUGGUGUUGGGGCACUACAGCACGCUGUAGGCCCUGAAAUCCAGUGGCGGGACCGCUGAAAACCCGGGCGUAGUAACUUUACGUCGUCUAGGGCGUUCCGGCGGACCCCAGCCGUUAAACCCACCAAAUUAUCAUAUUUGGCCUCGGAUCAGGUAGGAUUACCCGCUGAACUUAA